CGAGAAAAUCUAAUUUUUUUUCAUUUUCUACCCCUCUCUCUCACUCUAAACUCUCUCUAAACCCUCCCAAACCCUCCUAAAAGAUCUCUAAAUCUUUCAAGUUGAAUUCCUCCAAAUCAAAUCAAGAUUUCAUCUUAGGAAUUGGAAACUAGUUAGGAAAGGAUUAUAGUAUUUGGUGCUUGAUGUGUGGCUGAUUAUUGAAGCUUGGAGCUAGGAUUUUAGUUGAGUUUUCUGGGCAAUAAGGUAACGACGUGACAUUGGGGGAGAGCAAGUGAACGAUAACAUAGCUAAACGACAAAGGUAUGUGAGGCUAGUCCUUUCUUUCUAAUGGCAUGAAUCCUAUAGCAUAAGUUCCCUUCCUCUUAAUGAGUUCCUAUAUUCCGGAAAGCUAGAAGCUUAUAUCCAUAAAUAUCUAUAUAAGAUAAGAGAUAUGAUAUGAUGAUGCCAUAGUGAUAAUGAUGUUAUUUAUUGCUUACACUCACCUUAUGUUCUAAUUCCUUCAAGGUGAGGCAGAAUGUCAAUAAUUGCUCCAUAAUGAAAUCGGGAAAUCACGACCUUACAUCACCCCGAUAGAGUAUAGUUGAUCUUGAGUCUUAUGCAUGUACUAUGAUAAGCAUAUUAUGAUAAUCAUAUUAUUACAAGUAUUUUUGAUGAGCAUGUCAUGAUCAUAUUACACCGCGCCUAGUUGGCCGGGCAGUCACCGCUAAGGCGGGCAGCUAUACGGAUACACCAUGACCUUUUGGCAUGGGCAGACACCACUAGUGGGCGGCAUGAGAUGGUACCCCGGACGCGGGCUAAUGUUAUUGAUUAUCAUACCGUUCCGAUAUGGUCGUGCAUUUAUAUACAUAUGUGUUAUGCAUACAUGAGAUGUUGAGUAUGGAAGUAAGUCGCACGCAAGUAUGCCUCUAUGAUUCAUAGUUAGUUACAGAUUAUACCUUAUUUUAUUGAUGCCUCCCUAUUUCAUUGAUGUAUUAUUAUUGAUUAUGCCUCUCAUACUCAGUAUAAUAUUCGUACUGACGUCCGUUUUCUUGGACGUUGUGUUCAUGCCCACAGGUAGACAAGGAGACGAUCUUGAUCCAGGUGCAUAGGAGUUAGCGGCUGAUUUGAGAGCACUCCAUUGUUCGGAAGUGCUUAUGGUUAUUCUGUUGUGUAUAUCUAUGUAUAUUUUGGGCAUGACGGAGUCUUGUUCCGCGUAUAUGUAUAGUACUUCAGUAGAGGCUCGUAGGUACGCAGUGUGUGUAGUAUGGUCUCACAGUUUUUACGUAGAUGCAUACUACUAUUUUGAUAGCCUAAGGGCUUAUGUUUAUAAAAGUACGAUUUCUAGCA